GGGCGUUAAGUUGCAGGGUAUAGACCCGAAACCCGGUGAUCUAGCCAUGGGCAGGUUGAAGGUUGGGUAACACUAACUGGAGGACCGAACCGACUAAUGUUGAAAAAUUAGCGGAUGACCUGUGGCUGGGGGUGAAAGGCCAAUCAAACCGGGAGAUAGCUGGUUCUCCCCGAAAGCUAUUUAGGUAGCGCCUCGUGAAUUCAUCUCCGGGGGUAGAGCACUGUUUCGGCUAGGGGGCCAUCCCGGCUUACCAACCCGAUGCAAACUGCGAAUACCGGAGAAUGUUAUCACGGGAGACACACGGCGGGUGCUAACGUCCGUCGUGAAGAGGGAAACAACCCAGACCGCCAGCUAAGGUCCCAAAGUCAUGGUUAAGUGGGAAACGAUGUGGGAAGGCCCAGACAGCCAGGAUGUUGGCUUAGAAGCAGCCAUCAUUUAAAGAAAGCGUAAUAGCUCACUGGUCGAGUCGGCCUGCGCGGAAGAUGUAACGGGGCUAAACCAUGCACCGAAGCUGCGGCAGCGAACGUAUCACCCAAGACAACUUUACGGAGUUGACGAUUGACGGAGCGAAGCGACGUCAAAGCGUUCAUUAAAGUCGAGUUGGCUUAGGGAUACGUUCGUUGGGUAGGGGAGCGUUCUGUAAGCCUGUGAAGGUGGCCUGUGAGGGUUGCUGGAGGUAUCAGAAGUGCGAAUGCUGACAUAAGUAACGAUAAAGCGGGUGAAAAGCCCGCUCGCCGGAAGACCAAGGGUUCCUGUCCAACGUUAAUCGGGGCAGGGUGAGUCGACCCCUAAGGCGAGGCCGAAAGGCGUAGUCGAUGGGAAACGGGUUAAUAUUCCCGUACUUGGUGUUACUGCGAAGGGGGGACGGAGAAGGCUAUGUUGGCCGGGCGACGGUUGUCCCGGUUUAAGCGUGUAGGUGUGUGUUCCAGGUAAAUCCGGUUCACUUUAACACUGAGGCGUGAUGACGAGGCACUACGGUGCUGAAGCAACAAAUGCCCUGCUUCCAGGAAAAGCCUCUAAGCAUCAGGUAACAUCAAAUCGUACCCCAAACCGACACAGGUGGUCAGGUAGAGAAUACCAAGGCGCUUGAGAGAACUCGGGUGAAGGAACUAGGCAAAAUGGUGCCGUAACUUCGGGAGAAGGCACGCUGACACGUAGGUGAAGUGAUUUACUCA
rnacentral:rRNA from 1 species